rnacentral:rRNA from 1 species
UACGGGGGGGGCAAGCGUUGUUCGGAAUUACUGGGCGUAAAGGGUCUGUAGGUGGUCUGCUAAGUCAGACGUGAAAUCCCUCAGCUUAACUGGGGAACUGCGUCUGAUACUGGCGGACUUGAGGGCAGGAGAGGAACGCGGAAUUCCAGGUGUAGCGGUGAAAUGCGUAGAUAUCUGGAGGAACACCGGUGGCGAAGGCGGCGUUCUGGACUGUUUCUGACACUGAAAGACGAAAGCCAGGGGAGCAAACGGG